AGUGAACGCUGGCGGUAGGCCUAACACAUGCAAGUCGAACGGCAGCACAGUAAGAGCUUGCUCUUACGGGUGGCGAGUGGCGGACGGGCGAGGAAUACAUCGGAAUCUACUUUUUCGUGGGGGAUAACGUAGGGAAACUUACGCUAAUACCGCAUACGACCUACGGGUGAAAGCAGGGGAUCUUCGGACCUUGCGCGAUUGAAUGAGCCGAUGUCGGAUUAGCUAGUUGGCGGGGUAAAGGCCCACCAAGGCGACGAUCCGUAGCUGGUCUGAGAGGAUGAUCAGCCACACUGGAACUGAGACACGGUCCAGACUCCUACGGGAGGCAGCAGUGGGGAAUAUUGGACAAUGGGCGCAAGCCUGAUCCAGCCAUACCGCGUGGGCGAAGAAGGCCUUCGGGUUGUAAAGCCCUUUUGUUGGGAAAGAAAAGCAGCAGGUUAAUACCCCGCUGUUCUGACGGUACCCAAAGAAUAAGCACCGGCUAACUUCGUG
rnacentral:rRNA from 1 species